rnacentral:rRNA from 1 species
UGUCUGGGAAACUGCCUGAUGGAGGGGGAUAACUACUGGAAACGGUAGCUAAUACCGCAUAANGUCGCAGGACCAAAGAGGGGGACCUUCGGGCCUCUUGCCAUCGGAUGUGCCCAGAUGGGAUUAGCUAGUAGGUGGGGUAACGGCUCACCUAGGCGACGAUCCCUAGCUGGUCUGAGAGGAUGACCAGCCACACUGGAACUGAGACACGGUCCAUACUCCUACGGGAGGCAGCAGUGGGGAAUAUUGCACAAUGGGCGCAAGCCUGAUGCUCCCAUGCCGCGUGUAUGAAGAAGGCCUUCGGGUUGUAAAGUACUUUCAGCGGGGAGGAAGGCGAUAAGGUUAAUAACCUUGUCGAUUGACGUUACCCGCAGAAGAAGCACCGGCUAACUCCGUGCCAGCAGCCGCGGAAAUACGGAGGGUGCAAGCGUUAAUCGGAAUUACUGGGCGUAAAGCGCAC